UCGAGGUUUGAUCCUGGCUCAGAUUGAACGCUGGCGGCAUGCCUUACACAUGCAAGUCGAACGGCAGCACGGGUGCUUGCACCUGGUGGCGAGUGGCGAACGGGUGAGUAAUAUAUCGGAACGUACCUUAUUGUGGGGGAUAACGCAGCGAAAGCUGUGCUAAUACCGCAUAAUCCCUAAGGGGGAAAGCGGGGGACCGUAAGGCCUCGCGCAAUUAGAGCGGCCGAUACCUGAUUAGCUAGUUGGUGAGGUAAAGGCUCGACCAAGGCAACGAUCAGUAGCUGGUCUGAGAGGACGAUC
rnacentral:rRNA from 1 species